GGAUUUAUCUUAAUUGUAUGUCUUAUCAGUCUUAAAAGACAUAUCGCUUCAAACAGCAUUGCAACAACACCAUAGGACAAUCACAAAUGACAAUUUUGUUAUUUUCCUCUAUUUAUAUUGCAAUCCUUUGCACAAAAUGUUGAGGCCUAAACCCAGGUUGCCACCUCUACAGCCUUCUUAUAACCAGUCCCUGGUCAUUAACUAAUAUCAUUCUGUGUCUUUCAUCAGGGAAGUUUAAAUGUCUACAGAUUUUGUGACAAUGUGUGGACAUUCGUACUGAACAAUGUUGAAUUUCGAGAGCUUCCUGAUACUAUUAAAGUUGACAAAGUAAAAGUGGUUGCUUGUGAUGGAAGAGGUACAGUAUAUCUUCAUCAUUUGGAAUGUUGCAUGUUCAUUUUUAACAUAGUGUAAUUGGUAUAAUCUCUAUAUUCAGCAUUAUUUAUUAUUUCAUGCUGUCCAAAAUUACUUGCAGCAGAAACCAAAUUGGGUUACGACAAAAUCAGCUUUGCGGUAACCUGGGUUUCCGACUUUACCAUAACAAAAACU
rnacentral:lncRNA from 1 species